ensembl:lncRNA
AGAGUAUGCUGCUUUACGUACGAAUGGGUGAUCAGAAUGAAUGGUGCAUGUAAUUAAAUGUCAGAGUUAUGUACAAUGUGAAACCGGGCAGAUUUGCGUUCCCCUACAGUAGGACUACCGCUGAACUGCUGCCGCCACAGCCUCAACCGUCACCUGGAUCACGUCACACCCAGCCGCCGAUUACCUUGCAGCCAGAGAGGGACCAAACAUGUGCGGUUGAAUACGUCUGUUCAGAAUGGCUCCUUGCUCAUACAUGUUUUCCUCUCCCCCCUCUGUCGCCUGCACUGGACCGGACCACGGGCUGGGUGCCACAGACGUAAAAUAUAUAUAUAUAUUUAACGUUUAUUUAACUAGGCAAGUACACGCUUGAUGACAACGGACGAAGAGGAGCGACUGCCAAAUGAUUCUCAACAAAAGGAGGAACCAACGGCAGAUGAGCAACCGACAAAGGGUGGUGGCAGUGACUAUCUUGGACAAUCCUCCAGUAGCAUGGAUAUUAUCGCUGGGACUGAGUUUGGUUUGUGAUUGUGUACACCUGAGAUUUUGGAAGUAAAAACCGACAACAUUUUAAGCCUUGUCUGUGCGGUGGCCUGGGAUCUAGAACAUGAACUAAAGAGCAAUUGGCAUUUCUGUUUCCCAACUCUCCCCAGUGAGACUUUCAAUGUGUCUUGGUGGGCGUGGAUGAUUGGCUUGUGUGGUUUGAUUGUCAGGGGGUGUAAAAAGCCACCAGGAGAAGUCAGUCAGUCAGUGAUACACAAACUACACUAGGACGCAUCGGCUGUUAAAGACAACACAACCUGGAAGUUGCCCAACUGACAAGGUAGUCCAUGUAGUUCCUCUCAGGUCUGUCUGGUGACGUGAUGCACAUUAAUCUGUUUUCCAUGCUAGUGCUCCUGUUCUGUUCUAGCGGGAGUCACCAUGGUGAGUCUCACCCUCUUUCACUUUCACAAGCAGCUUUCUCUCAGCGUUGUCUCAGACAACUACUAAAAGCAAAUGGGGGAGAUAGUAACAGCAAUGCUACUGCCAUAUACAGUGGGUGUCAUAAGUAUUUUGAUCACAUUUUGUUGCUCCAAAGAGGGAUUGAAAUUAAUUUAACUGUGAUUAUUGCACACCUGGAUUCUGCAAGAUUUGCCCAUUAUUCUUUUCAAAAUUCUUUAAGCUCUGUCAAGGUGUUGGGGAUCAUGGCUAGACAGCAAUUUAAGUCUUGACAUAGAUUUAUGUCAAAACUGUGACUUGGCCACUCUGGAAAUUAGCUGUCUUCUUGGUAAGCAACUCCGGUGUAGAUUUGGCCUUGUGUUGUAGGUUAUUUUAAUUCCUCUCCCAGUGUCUGGUGUAAAGCAGACUGAAUCAGGUUUUCCUCUAGGAUUUUGCCUGUGCUUGGUGUAUCUUUUUAUUCUGAAAAACUCCCCAGGCUUUGCCGAUGUCAAGCAUACCCAUACCAUGAUGCAGCCACCACCAUGCUUGAAAAUACGGAGGCAGUUACUCAGUGAAGUGUUGUGUUGGAUUGCCCCAAAUAUAAGGCUUUGCAUUUAGGCCAAAAUGUUUACUUCAGUGCCUUGUUGCAUACAGAAUGCAUGUUUUGGAAUAUUUUAUAUAUAUUUUUUCACUCUGUCAUUUAGGUCAUUAUUGUGGAGUAACUACAAUGUUGUUGAUCCAUCCUCAGUUAAUUCCCUUCACAGCCAUUGAACUCUGUAGCUGUUUUAAAAUCACCAAUGACCUCAUGGUGACAUUUCUGAGCAGUUUCCUUCCUAUUCUGCAACUCAGUUAAGAAUGAUGACUGCCUUUGUGGUGUCUGGGUGGUUUAGUACAUCAUCCACAGCAUCAUUAUUAAUUUGACUAUGCUUAAAGAGAUAUUCAUUGUCUGAUUUGUUAUUGUUACCCAUCUACCAAUACUGCCCUUCUUUGAGGCUUUCGAAAAGCUGCCCUAGUUAGCGAGGUAACUUUGGUCAACUCUGAGUAACUCGGGAUAACCGGUCAUAAGAAAGUGACUGACCUUUUAGACAGAUACAUUUCUAUGGCAACGAAUCCUUCAGAACUAACCUGCUCCGGGACAGGCAAACUUACAGCUAACUCCACAUACCCUGAAUGAAAUGACUUGGCUGUGAGUUGAGGACCAAUUAAAUCAGAUUCCAAAUAUUGCGUCAUCAUCCCCUUCAUUUGAAGAAGACGACUUAUUAAAUAUUUUAUUAAUCAAAUUAUGUUUUGUGUUAAAAAAUAGUCAUGUAAAAAUAUAUCACACAUUUAUUAAUGACAGAAUGCAUUUUAAACUUCACACAAUGUAAACACUUCUGCUGAAUUUGCAAGAUAACUUUUCUUUCAUUUAGAUAUCGGCAUAAAUUAAAAUGUGUCACUGACUCGCCCAUGGAUUGAUGUUUCAGCAUUGUCUCAAUGAAGAGUCAGCGUUCGACUAGCCAUGUACGCACAGUUACACGGCUGCUAGAGUUAGCAGCAGGCAGAUUAGCAAUAUCCUCCGUCAUAGUACGGAUGAAGCCUAACCUGGAAUGUGAAGUUAACUGAAGUUGGUUAGCUUCAGAAACCCUUGUGUAGAUCUAGCUUGCUUUGCAGGAUACCCCUCAGG